AACGAACGCUGGCGGCAGGCCUAAUACAUGCAAGUCGAACGAACCUUCGGGUUAGUGGCGCACGGGUGCGUAACGCGUGGGAAUGUACACCUUGGUAGGGAAUAACUGCUGGAAACGGUAGCUAAUGCCUUAUAAUGACUCCGGUCCAAAGAUUUAUCGCCAAGGAAACAGCCCGCGUUAGAUUAGCUAGUUGGUGAGGUAAUGGCUCACCAAGGCGACGAUCUAUAGGGGGUCUGAGAGGAUGAUCCCCCACACUGGAACUGAGACACGGUCCAGACUCCUACGGGAGGCAGCAGUAAGGAAUAUUGGACAAUGGGGGCAACCCUGAUCCAGCCAUGCCGCGUGUGUGAAGAAGGCCUUAGGGUUGUAAAGCACUUUCAAACGUGAAGAUAAUGACGGUAGCGUUAGAAGAAGCUCCGGCUAAAUUCGUGCCAGCCGCCGCAGUAA
rnacentral:rRNA from 1 species